CCUACGGGGGGCUGCAGUGGGGAAUAUUGCACAAUGGGGGAAACCCUGAUGCAGCGACGCCGCGUGAACGAAGAAGGUAUUCGUAUCGUAAAGUUCUGUCCUAUGGGAAGAUAAUGACAGUACCAUAGAAGAAAGCUCCGGCUAAAUACGUGCCAGCAGCCGCGGUAAUACGUAUGGAGCGAGCGUUGUCCGGAAUUAUUGGGCGUAAAGGGUACGCAGGCGGUUUAAUAAGUCGAAUGUUAAAGAUCGGGGCUCAACCCCGUAAAGCAUUGGAAACUUAUAAACUUGAGUAGUGGAGAGGAAAGUGGAAUUCCUAGUGUAGUGGUUAAAUACGUAGAUAUUAGGAGGAAUACCGGUAGCGAAGGCGACUUUCUGGACACAAACUGACGCUGAGGUACGAAAGCGUGGGGAGCAAACAGGAUUAGAUACCCUUGUAGUC
rnacentral:rRNA from 1 species